UACGUAGGGUGCAAGCGUUACUCGGAAUUACUGGGCGUAAAGCGUGCGCAGGCGGUUAUGUAAGACAGGUGUGAAAUCCCCGGGCUUAACCUGGGAACUGCAUUUGUGACUGCAUAGCUAGAGUACGGUAGAGGGGGAUGGAAUUCCGCGUGUAGCAGUGAAAUGCGUAGAUAUGCGGAGGAACACCGAUGGCGAAGGCAAUCCCCUGGACCUGUACUGACGCUCGUGCACGAAAGCGUGGGGAGCAAACAGG
rnacentral:rRNA from 1 species